AGGGGACAUAAAGGGAACUGAACCUUGUGUCCUUUUCUGGAGAGCGUGACAGGCCCAGGGGCAGAAUGGAGUGGACGGAAAUUGGUGUGUCUGGGAUGCAGACACAGCACAGCACACAUCCUUCCAGCCUCAGCUUCCAAAGUUCUCUUUGUUGGCUGCAACUGUGGAAAUAGUGAACUAGCAUGAGCAGAGACUGGAACAAACAGGUAUGUACUUGCUAGCAAGCUGGUCUAGACGCCUGAUUGUAGAAGUCCUAAAGACUGCUGGUCACCACCACCCCACCACACACCUCAAUGCUUCUGGAAUAAAGUAUGUAGUAAGGAACAGCUUAGGAACAGGUGUGCCAAAAUCCCAUGACCUACUUUUCUUCUCCCCACCACUUUCCUCCGAAAGCCUCAUUCUGUUCUUUAAUAUCUUGAGGUAUGGGAACAGCAGAAUAUAGAGGGAAUGGUCAGGACGGAGAGAAGUGAUGUGAUCAUCGCCUAACCAGAAGCACAAAGGGGCUGCAGUUGAGGAUUAGGUUAACAGGAAGACUCUCACCACCUGCAGCACAAAUGCAGAUAGAUGUCCACUGGAUGGAAAGGGGAUAGAGAGGCAAGGAGCUGUGUCAGAUUUUUCCAUUUUCAGACCCUCGCUCUGGUUAUAGGUUUGUGCCAGGAGCAAGGGCUGCUGGGAGGGGUAGCUGGAGGAGGAAGGUGGAGCUGAGUGACUCACAGGAUGAAUCACAGAUCCAGUUAUAAACACAGAAAGAGGCCAAGGUCCUUCCCACCCCACUGCUUAGACAGCUUCUAUCACUUCCUCUACCCCCAACUCACACAGCCAAGGGAAGG
rnacentral:lncRNA from 1 species